rnacentral:lncRNA from 1 species
UCAAACACAAAUUCCUUAUAAGUUUUUAGAGACUGAAAAUUAUUUUUCUCAUCUUAUUCAUCUUACUCUCUCUUUUUAUUCAGUUUUAAUUUCUUUUUGGUGUGUGUCUGUGUGCCUGUGAUGUGUAUGUUGGGCCUGUAUGCAUACAUAGCAAAUGUGUAAAGAAGGUCAAAGGAAAACUUCAUGGAGUCACUUUUCUUCUAUCUUUAUGUGGGUUUGGGGGAUCAAACUUGGGUGGUUGGACUUGUAUUGCAGUGUUUUUACCUGCUAACUGGCCUUAUAGCUCUCUCUCUCUCUCUCUCUCUCUCUCUCUCUCUCUCUCUCUCUGUGUGUGUGUGUGUGUGUGUGUGUGUGUGUGUGUGUGUUGAUUUUUUUAAAGACAGGAUAUCACAUAGCUCAGGCUAGCCUUGAGCUCACUAUAUAGCUGAAGAUGACCUUGAACUCCUGAUCCUGCUCCCUCUACUUCCUAAGCACCGGGACUCUGGGCUUGUGCCACCAUGCCCAGUUUAUAUAGUGCAGGGGAUGGAACCCAGUUUUGUGUAUGCUAGAUAAGCUAUCUACCAGCUCAGACACACCCCUAGCCUUUAAUGUGGUUGUUUGUUAUUAAUUUUUAAAAAAGAAAAAGCAAAACUAUUUUUUGAGACAGAGUACUGUGUUUGAUAACUCAACUCCACAUAGCUGAGGACUUUUCACUCACUUUUAAUUUUGCCUCCACCUUAAGAAUGUUGUGAUUAGAAAUUUGUGCCAUCACCCUGGUUGGUGUAGGACUGGGAAUCAAACCAGGGACUCCUGCCUGCUGGGUGAGUACUCCACCAACUGAGCAGCAUCCCUGAUACCCUCAGAAUAUAAACACGCACAGAGCUGCGGCACCAGAUGAAGCCCCUCCUUUGUAGUGAGCCCAUCAGUCUCUGACAGGAGCUUGUCACUCAUCAGUACCAUCCUCCCAAAAGACUGACAGCUGGGAAGCCUAUAUGAAACUGAACUAGGCCCUCUGAAUACUAAGAAGUCAAUGUGACCAGCUGCUUCAUGCUCCUGCCACCAUGCCUUCCCCAGCAUGAUGAACUAUACCCUCAAACUGUGAGCCAGAGCCAACCAUUUCUUCCUCAUGUUGCUGUCAUCAGAUAAUGUUGUCACAGCAAGGAGACAAGUAACUGGCACAAACCUCUAGACUCCCUUGUUGAGAUCUUGUUUUCUCAGGUGGUGGCACCAUUUUGGAAGAUUCUGGAAACUUUAUAAGAUGCUUACCUGCCUAUCUGGGGACAUGUGUCAUGGCACCCAUGGAGAUCACAGGAUAGCAUGUUGGAGUCAGUUCUCUUCUCCCAUCUUCACUGGGCUUUCAAGACAUCAUCAUCUGCUGUUCUCUUGCCAUUUUGUGUAUUUUCAACACAGUCAAGGAUCAUUGCUUGCUAAUCUUCACUGGUUGAAAUGUUUCUCAAAUGAAAUUAGCUCUUUGAUUUGAUUUAGUACUUUCUUUUACAUUGUAUUUUGCUUAUUAUUAUAAACAGACUUUCAAAUAAUUCAUACUGUGAAGUAUCCUAUUCAUUUCUGUACUUUAAGAAUGGUGUGGGACAUGCUUGUUUUGAAAUUUCUUACAGAUGGUACAUAGUUGCAUGUCUAUCUUCAACCUAGUUUUAAUUUUUAUUAUUUUAUGUGUAUGGGUCUUUUGCCAACAUGCAAGUCUGUGUAUCAUGUUUGUGUCUGGUUCUCAUGGAGGCAAAAAAAAAAAAAAAAAAGCAUUGGGACCAUUGGUAGUGGAGUUAAGGUUGUGAGCCACCACAUGGGUGCUGGAAAUCAAACCCAGGUCCUCUUCAAGAGCAGCCAGUGCUCUUAACCGAUGAGCCAUUUCUUCAGCCCCUUCAACUCAGUUUUUUGUAAUAACAAUUAAUGUAAGAGACUAUGAAUUUGAAAGAGAGCAAGAAGUGGUAUAUGGGAAAUGAUGUAAUUAUAAUCUCAAAAAUA